rnacentral:snRNA from 2 species
AUCGCUUCUCGGCCUACUGGCUUAGAUCGUAUAGAGACAUGUUCUUAUCAGCUUAAUAUCUGAUACGGACCUAAUUGGUCCAAGAUAUUAUACUUAUUUUUGAAAAUGGUGUUUCUUCAGAGCUUGCUUUGGGGACGCUAGGGCUAGCCCGGCAUUGCACUACCUCCGGGACUGGCUCAUGCCGC